rnacentral:rRNA from 1 species
AGAGUUUGAUCCUGGCUCAGAUUGAACGCUGGCGGCAUGCCUUACACAUGCAAGUCGAACGGCAGCGCGGGGGGUAACUCCUGGCGGCGAGUGGCGAACGGGUGAGUAAUAUAUCGGAACGUGCCCUGGAGUGGGGGAUAACUAGUCGAAAGAUUAGCUAAUACCGCAUACGAUCUACGGAUGAAAGUGGGGGAUUCGCAAGAACCUCAUGCUCGUGGAGCGGCCGAUAUCUGAUUAGCUAGUUGGUAGGGUAAAAGCCUACCAAGGCGACGAUCAGUAGCUGGUUUGAGAGAACGACCAGCCACACUGGGACUGAGACACGGCCCAGACUCCUACGGGAGGCAGCAGUGGGGAAUUUUGGACAAUGGGGGCAACCCUGAUCCAGCAAUGCCGCGUGUGUGAAGAAGGCCUUCGGGUUGUAAAGCACUUUUGUCAGGGAAGAAACGGUGAGGG